UACGUAGGGUGCAAGCGUUGUCCGGAAUUAUUGGGCGUAAAGAGCUCGUAGGCGGUUUGUUGCGUCGGCUGUGAAAUCCCGAGGCUCAACCUCGGGUCUGCAGUCGAUACGAGCAAACUAGAGUGUUGCAGGGGAGACUGGAAUUCCUGGUGUAGCGGUGAAAUGCGUAGAUAUCGGAAGGAACACCAGUGGCGAAAGCGGCUUCCUGGUCCAGCACCGACGUUCAGGCACGAAAGCGUGGGGAGCAAACAGG
rnacentral:rRNA from 1 species